GGUAGCGCCUCGUGAAUUCAUCUCCGGGGGUAGAGCACUGUUUCGGCUAGGGGGCCAUCCCGGCUUACCAACCCGAUGCAAACUGCGAAUACCGGAGAAUGUUAUCACGGGAGACACACGGCGGGUGCUAACGUCCGUCGUGAAGAGGGAAACAACCCAGACCGCCAGCUAAGGUCCCAAAGUCAUGGUUAAGUGGGAAACGAUGUGGGAAGGCCCAGACAGCCAGGAUGUUGGCUUAGAAGCAGCCAUCAUUUAAAGAAAGCGUAAUAGCUCACUGGUCGAGUCGGCCUGCGCGGAAGAUGUAACGGGGCUAAACCAUGCACCGAAGCUGCGGCAGCGACGCUGAUGCGUUGUUGGGUAGGGGAGCGUUCUGUAAGCCUGCGAAGGUGGCCUGUGAGGGUUGCUGGAGGUAUCAGAAGUGCGAAUGCUGACAUAAGUAACGAUAAAGCGGGUGAAAAGCCCGCUCGCCGGAAGACCAAGGGUUCCUGUCCAACGUUAAUCGGGGCAGGGUGAGUCGACCCCUAAGGCGAGGCCGAAAGGCGUAGUCGAUGGGAAACGGGUUAAUAUUCCCGUACUUGGUGUUACUGCGAAGGGGGGACGGAGAAGGCUAUGUUGGCCGGGCGACGGUUGUCCCGGUUUAAGCGUGUAGGUGUGUGUUCCAGGUAAAUCCGGUUCACUUUAACACUGAGGCGUGAUGACGAGGCACUACGGUGCUGAAGCAACAAAUGCCCUGCUUCCAGGAAAAGCCUCUAAGCAUCAGGUAACAUCAAAUCGUACCCCAAACCGACACAGGUGGUCAGGUAGAGAAUACCAAGGCGCUUGAGAGAACUCGGGUGAAGGAACUAGGCAAAAUGGUGCCGUAACUUCGGGAGAAGGCACGCUGACACGUAGGUGAAGUGAUUUACUCAUGGAGCUGAAGUCAGUCGAAGAUACCAGCUGGCUGCAACUGUUUAUUAAAAACACAGCACUGUGCAAACACGAAAGUGGACGUAUACGGUGUGACGCCUGCCCGGUGCCGGAAGGUUAAUUGAUGGGGUCAGCGCAAGCGAAGCUCCUGAUCGAAGCCCCGGUAAACGGCGGCCGUAACUAUAACGGUCCUAAGGUAGCGAAAUUCCUUGUCGGGUAAGUUCCGACCUGCACGAAUGGCGUAAUGAUGGCCAGGCUGUCUCCACCCGAGACUCAGUGAAAUUGAACUCGCUGUGAAGAUGCAGUGUACCCGCGGCAAGACGGAAAGACCCCGUGAACCUUUACUAUAGCUUGACACUGAACAUUGAGCCUUGAUGUGUAGGAUAGGUGGGAGGCUUUGAAGUGUGGACGCCAGUCUGCAUGGAGCCGGCCUUGAAAUACCACCCUUUAAUGUUUGAUGUUCUAACGUGGACCCGUGAUCCGGGUUGCGGACAGUGUCUGGUGGGUAGUUUGACUGGGGCGGUCUCCUCCUAAAGAGUAACGGAGGAGCACGAAGGUUGGCUAAUCCUGGUCGGACAUCAGGAGGUUAGUGCAAUGGCAUAAGCCAGCUUGACUGCGAGCGUGACGGCGCGAGCAGGUGCGAAAGCAGGUCAUAGUGAUCCGGUGGUUCUGAAUGGAAGGGCCAUCGCUCAACGGAUAAAAGGUACUCCGGGGAUAACAGGCUGAUACCGCCCAAGAGUUCAUAUCGACGGCGGUGUUUGGCACCUCGAUGUCGGCUCAUCACAUCCUGGGGCUGAAGUAGGUCCCAAGGGUAUGGCUGUUCGCCAUUUAAAGUGGUACGCGAGCUGGGUUUAGAACGUCGUGAGACAGUUCGGUCCCUAUCUGCCGUGGGCGCUGGAGAACUGAGGGGGGCUGCUCCUAGUACGAGAGGACCGGAGUGGACGCAUCACUGGUGUUCGGGUUGUCAUGCCAAUGGCACUGCCCGGUAGCUAAAUGCGGAAGAGAUAAGUGCUGAAAGCAUCUAAGCACGAAACUUGCCCCGAGAUGAGUUCUCCCUGAGACUUAGAGUCUCCUGAAGGAACGUUGAAGACGACGACGUUGAUAGGCCGGGUGUGUAAGCGCAGCGAUGCGUUGAGCUAACCGGUACUAAUGAACCGUGAGGCUUAACCUUACA
rnacentral:rRNA from 1 species